GCAUAGCCCAGAUUGUAGUGAAAAUCCUUUUUGCUCGCUUUUUCAGCGUGCAAAAAGAUUGCAACGAAAAGCGGGACAAUUG
rnacentral:sRNA from 1 species